rnacentral:rRNA from 1 species
UAGUAACUGCGAGUGAAGCGGGAAAAGCUCAAAUUUAAAAUCUGGCGGUCUUUGACCGUCCGAGUUGUAGUCUGGAGAAGUGCUUUCCGUGCUGGACCGUGUACAAGUCUCUUGGAACAGAGCGUCAUAGAGGGUGAGAAUCCCGUCUUUGACAUGGACUACCAGUGCUUUGUGAUGCGCUCUCGAAGAGUCGAGUUGUUUGGGAAUGCAGCUCUAAAUGGGUGGUAAAUUCCAUCUAAAGCUAAAUAUUGGCGAGAGACCGAUAGCGAACAAGUACCGUGAGGGAAAGAUGAAAAGCACUUUGGAAAGAGAGUUAAACAGUACGUGAAAUUGCUGAAAGGGAAACGCUUGAAGUCAGUCGCGUCGGCCGGGACUCAGCCUUGCUUUUUGCUUGGUGCACUUUCCGGUUGGACGGGCCAGCAUCGAUUUUGACCGUCGGAAAAGGGCUGAGGAAAUGUGGCACCUUCGGGUGUGUUAUAGUCUUCAGUCGCAUACGGCGGUUGGGAUCGAGGAACGCAGCGCGCCGCAAGGCAGGGGUUCGCCCACUUUCGCGCUUAGGAUGCUG